rnacentral:misc_RNA from 1 species
GGAAAUGCCUCAAAAACAUUACAGAAAGAUUUAACAGCAUAUGUUGAAUAUCAAUUAUUGAUUCUUCAGUAUGAUUUUACUUGCACACUUAAAACAUGCAUGGUAGGAAUUUGCCUCCAAUGUUGGCAUAGCCUGUAUAGUGGCAGAGAAUUGUAGAGGCUUAAAACAUGUAGAGUUGGAUGUGUUUUGGAUGAGAAUUAUGUUAGCUGGUCUACUUGCAAAUGCCAAUGGGUGGAUAGGUUCUAUCUAAAAAUGUUGUUUAUUUUGGAGGGUGCCUUUUGCUCCUUGUAUGAUGGGAUGAAGGGCUUGCAGUUACUAAGGAAUGGGCCAACUACAACCCAAUGGAAUAUUUUCUGUUCCUGGGAAACAAAGUUCUCAUUUAGGAACAUUGGUCUUCCCUUAAACAGUGCCAGAACAGUCAGAGAAGUUGCGGUGUGAUGGUGCAUGGUCCAAUCUAAACAGUCAUUUCCAUUUGUUUCUUUUUGUUAUUUGGGAUUUAAUGGAGGUUUGAAGACUUUACAGUUUUUCAAACCGACUUUGGUGAGUCAAAUUUCAU